UAUCAGACAGACAAAAGAAAGAGGGCAGGCGGGAAUAAAUAAUAGAAUAGGAGAACUCUUCGAUCGGAGGCAGAUUCCGAGUUGGUUAGUUUGACUUCUUCUCUUCUCCCUACUUACUAUCCUUACCAACAAUGGGUUGUGUUGUCCUUUAAAGAAUAGCUAUAGCCCAAGGUUUAACGUUGAUCCAUCCCACGAACAAUUAAUUUCUUAGGACAUUCAACAUUUAACUCCAGUUACGACUUCCUCUCGGCCGGGCAUCUUCUCUCUUGCUUC
rnacentral:lncRNA from 1 species